rnacentral:rRNA from 1 species
GACGGUGAUAACGCGUGGGACGUACCCCAAAUUGAGGAAUACUUGCCCGAAAAGGGUGGCUAAUGCCGCAUAUGAUCUUCGGAUUAAGGAUUUAUCCGCUUUGGGAACGGCCUGCGUACGAUUAGAUAGUUGGUGAGGUAAAGGCUCACCAAGUCAACGAUCGUUAACUGGUUUGAGAGGAUGAUCAGUCAGACUGGAACUGAGACCGGUCCAGACUCCUACGGGAGGCAGCAGUGAGGAAUAUUCCACAAUGGGCGAAAGCCUGGUGGAGCAACGCCGCGUGCAGGAUGAAGGCCUUCGGGUCGUAAACUGCUUUUAUAAGUGAAUAACAUGAAUGUAUCUUAUGAAUAAGCACCGGCUAACUACGUGCCAGCAGCCGCGGUCAUACGUAGGGUGCAAGCAUUAUCCGGAGUGACUGGGCGUAAAGAGUUGCGUAGGUGGUUUAUCAAGUGAAUAGUGAAAUCUGGUGGCUCAACCACAUAGACUAUUAUUCAAACUGGUAAACUCGAGAGUAGCAGAGGUAACUGGAAUUUCCAGUGUAGGAGUGAAAUCCGUAGAUAUUAGAAGGAACACCAAUGGCAUAGGCAGGUUACUGGGCUAUUUCUGACACUAAGGCACGAAAGCGUGGGGAGCGAACCGGAUUAGAUACCCGGGUAGUCCACGCCGUAAACGAUGAAUACUAGCUGUUGGAGGUAUCGACCCCUUCAGUAGCGAAGCUAACGCGUUAAGUAUUCCGCCCUGUGUAGUACGGUCGCAAGACUAAAACAUCAAGGAAUUGACGGGGACCAAGCACAA